rnacentral:rRNA from 1 species
UACAGAGGGUGCAAGCGUUGUUCGGAAUUAUUGGGCGUAAAGGGAGUGUAGGCGGUUAGUUAGGUCUUCUGUGAAAGCUGCGGGCUCAGCCUGCAAAGUGCAGAGGAAACUGGCUGACUUGAGUGUCGGAGAGGAUAGGGGAAUACCCAGUGUAGAGGUGAAAUUCGUAGAGAUUGGGUGGAACACCAGUGGCGAAGGCGCCUAUCUGGCUGACAACUGACGCUGAGACUCGAAAGCAUGGGGAGCAAACAGG